rnacentral:lncRNA from 1 species
CCUCCCUUCACCACGCGCCCGGCUCCUCGGACCAACCCCGGGGGAUACAUUGUUUGCGCUCCGGGUCUGGGUCACCGGAGUCGCUCUCUGGCACUGCGCCGCCGGCCAGCCUCCGCCGUUGGGAAGAGCGCGCCGUUGCCAUGGAGACCAGAUCGCCAUCACUGCUGCAGACGCUGCCGCUCCUCCCGCUCCUCUCCCGCUGUUGCUCCCUCCUCCCCCACGUAACCCUGGUAACGGUGUCCGUGGCGAGCAGGGAGGCGGCCCCCAAACACAAACAAUCUCUUCCUCCCCGCCCCGCCCCGCCCCGUGUGUCCCCGGGGGGACCAAAGUCUCCCGGCUGAUCCCGCUGCUCCCGCAGCGUCCCAGAGGGAGAAAAAGGGGUGGCCCUGCGGGAGCCCCGGGAGGGGAUGGGGCGACCCCGCCGCAGGCACCUUUCACUGGGGCUCCCGGGCCGGUCCAUGUCGAGCGCAGCGGGACGCGUCGCCAGACUCCCGCCCUGGCUCUCCGGUUCUCCGGCUCCGAGCCGCCGAGCCCCUCUCUCCGGGACCCACGCAGGAAAGGUUCCCUCCCUUGGCCAGCCCAGAAAGGGGAACUUGGCGUAGAAGGAAGCUCCCGCCCGCCGUCUGCGAGAACUGAUCACCAAGAAGGAUUGGAGCGCAAAGGAAAGCCGUUUCUGCCGGGGCCAGGACCCCCCACCUCCCCAGAGGCAGGCAGGAGCCGGGGACGUGUCCAUCAUCACAUACCCGCCCCUCUGUGGCUCUGAGCAUCUCCCCCGACUCCGGCAUCUGGGGACCAGGGAAGGGAGUGGGAGAGGACUCGGGGGAAUGCCGGAGACGGGAAACUACGUGUUCCGGAGGAGCUGGGAUUUCUAGGGGGCAACCGCACCCAUUACUCAAGCUCCUCACAACCCCGGGGACUCCUCCCAUCCCUUUUAACUGCGCCGAGAGCCUGCCCAGGGGACAGGUUUAGACACCGGGCCCUUCUCCGUGUUGUGUUUGUUUGACUGUAGGAUGGGGAGGAGGACUCAUUUCCGAUGCCUAAAAGGGAGGUUCUAUCCCUGGCUGAAGGGUUGGGGUUGGGGGCAAGCUGGAGGAGUGACGAGUUCUCUGUAUUAGCCCCUCCUCCAAAAUGGAAGAAGACUUUACCAGAUAUAAGAGAGGGGCUCCAUUCAAAACUAACCUCGCCUGAAAAGUUAGAUUUCAAGUAACUCAUUCACGGAGAAAAUCAUCUUCUGCUUCAAGAAGAAAAACAAUGUCAGUGAAUCCCCAAGUCAAAGCCCCCGAGGCGGUGCUCCAAAGGCUCGUCAGUUUUUCCUCUAGACACAAGCACCUUAGGGGAAGGGGGCUCGGCAUGAAGGAGUAGCUUGGAGAAUUUUUUGUGCGCUUCGCCGAAGCCCUCCCUGUUCCCCAGACUGGCUCUUUGUGUAUCUCGACAGAUAAGGCUGUCAGGAAAAUCCUAAGGAAGAUAACUGUCCUCCAGGGGAAUGGACUGAAUUGUCCCUAAGAAGGAAAGGAUAAUACUGAUACUGCACCCUCUCUUCCCUCCCUCUUAAACAAUUAGGCCCUCGUCCAUUCAAAUGAAAGACCCCGAUAAAGGAUUUGAGAGCAUCUUUCAAGUACAAAAACCCCAGAGCCUAAAGAAAAGAGGAAGUUCACUUCAAGAAGGAAGAGUAUAAGAGAGAAGUUGAAGGACAAAAAGGAAACCUGC